GUGUGACUCGUCACACUAUCAUUAACUGAAUCCAUAGGUUAAUGAGGCGAACCGGGGGAACUGAAACAUCUAAGUACCCCGAGGAAAAGAAAUCAACCGAGAUUCCCCCAGUAGCGGCGAGCGAACGGGGAGGAGCCCAGAGCCUGAAUCAGCAUGUGUGUUAGUGGAAGCGUCUGGAAAGGCGCGCGAUACAGGGUGACAGCCCCGUACACAAAAGCGCAUGUGCUGUGAGCUCGAUGAGUAGGGCGGGACACGUGGUAUCCUGUCUGAAUAUGGGGGGACCAUCCUCCAAGGCUAAAUACUCCUGACUGACCGAUAGUGAACCAGUACCGUGAGGGAAAGGCGAAAAGAACCCCGGCGAGGGGAGUGAAAAAGAACCUGAAACCGU
rnacentral:rRNA from 2 species